rnacentral:tRNA from 1 species
CAUUAGAUGGCUGAAAGCAAGCAAUGGUCUCUUAAACCACUUAAUAGUAGAGUAGCUACUACUUCUAAUG